GGCCAAACAAUUAGCUCUUCAUUAGCAUUUCGGUUUGGAGUUAGAUUUACACUUGUGGAAUCAAAGCACUUGAUUUUAGCAUGAAAGUCCCUCUCUAAGUACUCAAUCAAUCCCGUAUGUUUAGCUUUUUCUUUAUAACUAGUAGUUUUUGAUUUACUCGCAAUCCGAUCCGCAUGCCUGAGGAGGUCAUUGUAACUGUAGUCUUUACUUUCAUGACAAAAGGGACAUUUUAAAAACUUAUCGGAAAACCUAACUUUUAGACACCCGUCUUUUAGUUUCUCAUAAUACUUAUGUCUCACGUUUUCUUCAAACUCAGGAUCAACUUUAUUUUCAUAUCUAACUCGCUGACUCAUCGUACACACUUGAUACCUUGAAGUAAGACUGAGAAACAAACAAAAACCCUAAGUUGGAAUCGCUAGGGUUUGUCUGCAAUGGCGGAAGUGAACGUGAACAGAGGAUUGUGAU
rnacentral:lncRNA from 1 species